rnacentral:tRNA from 1 species
GGAGGUAAAGCUCAGCAGUAAAGCCCAUGUUUAGCAUGCACGAGGUCCUGGGUUCAAUCCCCAGUGCCUCCU